GGAAGGAUCAUUAUUGAAAUAUGGUGAUAGGUUGUUGCUGGCCUCGGCAUGUGCACACUUGUCAUCUUUAUUUCUCCACCUGUGCACUAUAUGUAGACCCUGGAGACACAGCAAAAUUGUCUGAGUAAUUAGAUAGAGUUGAGCACUGCUGUGUGCUUUGCGCUGUGUUCUCCAGGUGUUCUAUGUCUUUCAUCUACUCCUACGAAUAUUAACAGAAUGUUGAAACAAUUUUGGGCUAUUCAUUGCCUUAUAAAAAGUUUAUACAACUUUCAGCAACGGAUCUCUUGGCUCUCGCAUCGAUGAAGAACGCAGCGAAAUGCGAUAAGUAAUGUGAAUUGCAGAAUUCAGUGAAUCAUCGAAUCUUUGAACGCAUCUUGCGCUCCUUGGAAUUCCGAGGAGCAUGUCUGUUUGAGUGUCAUUAAAUUCUCAACAACACUGAUCUUUUGAUUAGUGUAGCUUGGAUAUGGGGGAAUGGGCUUUUGCGAACAAAGUUCCAAUCCCCUGAAAUAGAUUAGUGGUGUACCCUUAUGGGACAAACAAAAUCUUUUGGUGGUGAUAAGUCAUCUACACCCUUGGAUGUCCACAUUGAACAGGGUUGUAAAUUGCUGCUCUCUAACCCAUCCCUAAUGGGGGGACAGUCUUGACCUCAAAUCAGAUAGGACUACCCGCUGAACUUAAGCAUAUCAAUAAGCGGAGGAAAAGAAACUAACAAGGAUUCCCUUAGUAACUGCGAGUGAAGUGGGAAAAGCUCAAAUUUAAAAUCUGGCAGUCAUUAACUGUCCGAGUUGUAAUCUAGAGAAGUGUCUGCCCGCGCUGGACCAUUUACAAGUCUCCUGGAAUGGAGCAUCACAGAGGGUGAGAAUCCCGUCUUUGACAUGGACUACCAGUGCUAUGUGGUAUGCUCUCAAAGAGUCGAGUUGUUUGGGAAUGCAGCUCAAAAUGGGUGGUAAAUGCCAUCUAAAGCUAAAUAUUGGCGAGAGACGAUAGUGAA
rnacentral:rRNA from 1 species